UGGGGAAUUUUGGACAAUGGGCGCAAGCCUGAUCCAGCCAUGCCGCGUGCGGGAAGAAGGCCUUCGGGUUGUAAACCGCUUUUGUCAGGGAAGAAAUCUUCUGAGUUAAUACCUCGGGAGGAUGACGGUACCUGAAGAAUAAGCACCGGCUAACUACGUGCCAGCAGCCGCGGUAAUACGUAGGGUGCAAGCGUUAAUCGGAAUUACUGGGCGUAAAGCGUGCGCAGGCGGUUUUGUAAGACAGAGGUGAAAUCCCCGGGCUCAACCUGGGAACUGCCUUUGUGACUGCAAGGCUUGAGUGCGGCAGAGGGGGGAUGGAAUUCCGCGUGUAGCAGUGAAAUGCGUAGAUAUGCGGAGGAACACCGAUGGCGAAGGCAAUCCCCUGGGCCUGCACUGACGCUCAUGCACGAAAGCGUGGGGAGCAAACAGGAUUAGAUACCCUGGUAGUCCACGCCCUAAACGAUGUCAACUGGUUGUUGGGAAGGUUCCUUCUCAGUAACGUAGCUAACGCGUGAAGUUGACCGCCUGGGGAGUACGGCCGCAAGGUUGAAACUCAAAUGAAUUGACGGGGUCAUAGCUGUUUCCU
rnacentral:rRNA from 1 species